rnacentral:rRNA from 1 species
UUGGAGGGCAAGUCUGGUGCCAGCAGCCGCGGUAAUUCCAGCUCCAAUAGCGUAUAUUAAAGUUGUUGCAGUUAAAAAGCUCGUAGUUGAAUUUCGGGAUUGACACAUCGGUCGUGCCUUAAGGGGUAUGAACUGGUGUAGUCAAUUUCUCACCUUCUGGAGAACCGCGAUGCCCUUAAUUGGGUGCCGCAGGGAACCAGGACCUUUACUUUGAAAAAAUUAGAGUGUUUAAAGCAGGCAUUUUGCUUGAAUACAUUAGCAUGGAAUAAUAAAAUAGGACGGCAUGAUUCUAUUUUGUUGGUUUCUAGGAUCACCGUAAUGAUUAAUAGGGAUAGUUGGGGGCAUUAGUAUUCAAUUGUCAGAGGUGAAAUUCUUGGAUUCAUUGAAGACUAACUACUGCGAAAGCAUUUGCCAAGGAUGUUUUCAUUAAUCAAGAACGAAAGUUAGGGGAUCGAAGACGAUCAGAUACCGUCGUAGUCUUAACCAUAAACUAUGCCGACUAGGAAUCAGACGAUGUUAAUUUUUUAAUGACUCGUUUGGCACCUUACGGGAAACCAAAGUGUUUGGGUUC